rnacentral:rRNA from 1 species
GAUGAACGCUAGCGGCAGGCUUAAUACAUGCAAGUCGAGGGGCAGCAGGACUGUAGCAAUACAGUUGCUGGCGACCGGCAAACGGGUGCGGAACACGUACGCAACCUACCCAAAACUGGGGGAUAGCCCGGGGAAACCCGGAUUAAUACCUCGUAACCUUUUUAAGUGGCAUCACUUGAUAAGUAUAGCUCCGGCGGUUUUGGAUGGGCGUGCGCCUGAUUAGGUAGUUGGUGCGGGUAACGGCCCACCAAGCCUGCGAUCAGUAACUGGUGUGAGAGCACGACCAGUAACACGGGAACUGGGACACGGGCCCGACUCCUACGGAAGGAAGCAUAAAGGAAUAUUGGUCAAGGGACGCAAGUCUGAACCAGCCAUGCCGCGUGAAGAAUGAAGGUCCUCUGGAUUGUAAACUUCUUUUAUGGGGGACGAAACCGGAUAUUCUUAUCCGAUUGACGGUACCUCAGGAAUAAGCACCGGCUAACUCCGUG